rnacentral:tRNA from 1 species
GGGCCCGUAGCUCAGGGGUAGAGCAGGGGACUUUUAAUCCUCCGGUCGUGGGUUCGAAUCCCACCGGGCCCUCCA